UUGUGUUUAGUGUCAACUACAGAGCAGACGAGGAGGUGGGUGUAGCAGAAGCAGAGGAGAUUGUUGCACCAUGCAAGUGUGACUCACACAAGCAGACGGUUGUUGGAGAAUUGAAUGCCAAAAAACCUGGCAUAUACACCCUCUUGUUUGACAACACGUAUUCUAGGAUGACAUCAAAGAAGAUCCAUUAUAUUUUGGACUUCAAGAAGCAGCCAUGAAUACAUUGUCAGCCCAAUGUGCAAUAAAAUGUUGACCCUUGUAAUUGAGCAUUACGUUUUAGUGGGGUUUAUUUUAACUACAUAGAUCCUGAUAAGAUGAUCAGACCACUGGCAGACAAUUUAUAGAACAUAGCAUCACGUACAUUAAAUUGGCAUUACUAGUCAACUACAGUGCUUAAAAUGAAUGGGUUCAUAUCAGCCAGACAAUGCUUAGCUUAAAGGAUCCGCCUUGUUUGAUAUUGUCUUCCUCAAAAUCCCACCACACCACCACUAUAAGGUGUUGGCUUGUUUCCUU